CAUGGGUAGUAUCUUUCAGUCAUGCCAUUCAGAAAAGUACCAUGAGCUAUCUGUGUGCUGUUUAGAUAUAAAGGGAUAGUGAAGAGGCAGAUGGCUAGACUGUGGGAGAGCAGACCUUGGUGGCCAGGUGUCAACAUAGCUAGAAAGGACGCUGCUGCAGGAAGCAGGUUCAGUGAUCUGAGUCUGUGGAAUAGACAGCAGGCGAAUUAGCAGAAGAAGGUUUGAAGAAACGCGUUCAUGCGUGGAUGUACAGGAGUCACGAAGUGUGUAAUUCAAGCAAGUACUGGAGAGCCAGCUCAUCUGCAUGGAGCAAUUUGCAACGGCAUCCUUGUUACAAACCACGAAAUCGAAGAUUGCUGGGCUGAGCUGAAAAUAGCUGACUUGGUACAAGGAAGAGGACUAAUUCUUAUGCAAAGCUCUCCACUCACAGCCUCUGAUUCAAAGAACAAUAGAAAGUUUGAUCCUUGAAACACCUGACCUUCUGACGCCUUUUCACUCUCCAGCCCAGAGCAGCCUUGGGUUUGAAUGAAAUGUGUAAGAACCAGAGAUGAGGUUCUGUAUUGCAAUAUGCUGUUUUGAUUACUGUGUCACAGUUGCAGUGAGUUCACAGCCUUCACAUUUUCGCAGGAAAAGCU